rnacentral:rRNA from 1 species
CUUUCUUUGCUGGCGACCGGCGCACGGGUGAGUAACACGUAUCCAACCUGCCCUUUACUCGGGGAUAGCCUUUCGAAAGAAAGAUUAAUACCCGAUAGUAUAAUGAUUCCGCAUGGUUUCAUUAUUAAAGGAUUCCGGUAAAGGAUGGAGAUGCGUUCCAUUAGGUUGUUGGUGAGGUAACGGCUCACCAAGCCUUCGAUGGAUAGGGGUUCUGAGAGGAAGGUCCCCCACAUUGGAACUGAGACACGGUCCAA